rnacentral:piRNA from 1 species
UUUCAGCCAAGUUAUUUUCAUCUGAAUUC